AGUGAACGCUGGCGGUAGGCCUAACACAUGCAAGUCGAACGGCAGCACAGUAAGAGCUUGCUCUUACGGGUGGCGAGUGGCGGACGGGUGAGGAAUACAUCGGAAUCUACUUUUUCGUGGGGGAUAACGUAGGGAAACUUACGCUAAUACCGCAUACGACCUACGGGUGAAAGCAGGGGAUCUUCGGACCUUGCGCGAUUGAAUGAGCCGCUGUCGGAUUAGCUAGUUGGCGGGGUAAAGGCCCACCAAGGCGACGAUCCGUAGCUGGUCCGAGAGGAUGAUCAGCCACACUGGAACUGAGACACGGUCCAGACUCCUACGGGAGGCAGCAGUCGGGAAUAUUGGACAAUGGGCGCAAGCCUGAUCCAGCCAUACCGCGUGGGUGAAGAAGGCCUUCGGGUUGUAAAGCCCUUCUGUUGGGAAAGAAAAGCAGCAGGUUAAUACCCCGCUGUUCUGACGGUACCCAAAGAAUAAGUACCGGCUAACUUCGUG
rnacentral:rRNA from 1 species